rnacentral:rRNA from 1 species
AUGGCUUUGGUCCAACGGUUUGGAAAGCCAGAUUUAUUUUUAACAAUGACGUGCAACCCAAGUUGGGAAGAGAUCAUAAAAGAACUCGCACCAGGCCAAUCAGCACAAGACCGACCAGACUUGGUAGCACGGGUCUUUAGGGCAAAAUUAGAGGAUCUGAAAAAGCUUAUAUUCAAGAAGAAAUUCUUUGGCGAGGUUGCUGCUUACGUGUAUGUCAUUGAAUUUCAAAAAAGGGGACUG